rnacentral:rRNA from 1 species
UACGAAGGGGGCUAGCGUUGCUCGGAUUGACUGGGCGUAAAGGGCGCGUAGGCGGAUAGUACAGUCAGGCGUGAAAUUCCUGGGCUCAACCUGGGGGCUGCGUUUGAUACGUGCUGUCUGGAGUUCGGAAGAGGGUCGUGGAAUUCCCAGUGUAGAGGUGAAAUUCGUAGAUAUUGGGAAGAACACCGGUGGCGAAGGCGACUAACUGGACAUGUAUUGACGCUGAGGUGCGAAAGCGUGGGGAGCAAACAGG